rnacentral:lncRNA from 1 species
UAAAAUCAGUAUAGAGAAAGAAGAAGUGAAACUCUUAUCUCGAACACAUCCAGCCGAUGUGAAGAACAGAGAAGCGCCCGAAAUCAGUCGUUUCAGCUAGAAAUCCCAAAUCCAAACCUAAAUCGGCCCUCUCUAGCUAGAAAUUUAUCCAAAUAAUAGAAAUCCCAAAUGGGAAUCUUUCCCAAAUUGAAAUCCCUCAAAUCAAAAUGUGUAUUUGAUUGGGUGUUUAUGAUACUUGCCACAAACUUCAUUUUGAAGCUAAAUCUUAAGAUUGGAAUCUGGUUUGACGAGUUUUGGUCAUUUCCAUUUUUGUAGGUGAGUUUUGGUCAUUUCCAUUUUUGUAGCUCCGAUUGGAUUUACCUUUUGUAGGUGAGUUUUGGUUUUAAUUUUUCUGUUGAUUUCUGGGUCUUCUUUUUCCUAAUUGAUUGGAUAAUUUUUUUCAAGUGUUGUUACUUUUUAGUAGUUGGAUUUUUAAAAUCAUGUCCUUGUUUUCAAAUUUGCAUAUUUCUUGUCAAAUGCAACUGAUCGGUCACAUUUCAUUCUAAAAGAACUUUUGAUCGCAUACAUAUAGGUCAUUUGAAAGAUGUUUGUGCAAUUGUAGGUAUGGUAGUGAAAUAUGUAGCAUAUUCUUUACUGAGAUUUAUUGCAAAUUCAUUUGUAUCUUAUGAAGCAUUUUCAUGAAAGAAAAUGAAUAUGAAUAAUUCUUUAAUAGUGCCCUGUUUUUUUCCUGUGAUGCAAUUAGUAAUGUUGUUUCAUUAGGAAGUCAUCAUUAGCAAAAAGCUCUCAUUAUACCUUUCAUUUAUCUCAUUAUACCUUUCAUUACUUUAAUCUUUAUGGUUGGAUAGGAAAGCAUUCUUUUAGUUUCUUUAUUCUAAUAACUGUAAAUAUAAGAAUGCUUUGUACCAUGGAUUUAUUGAAAGGGUCCUCCUUUACAGCCUGUUGCUAUCUCGUGGGAGUUCUUGGCCAUCAAUUUGUCCGUUUAUGUCCGUAGCUAUCUUUGUUAUGUCUCUUGUGUCCAAUUAUAGAUAUUUUUCCAGUAGCUAUCUUUGUUAUGUCUGUUGUGUCCAAUUAUAGCUAUUUUUCCAGUAGCUAUCUUUGUUAUUAAAGCUUCUGCAACACUGUCCUUGCGGUAUUGAUUUCUCUAUUUCAUGCAACGCCCAUUUAACUGUCUCUAUCAAUCUUAUACGUUUUUAGUUAUCUGUAAAUUGAAGAAGUUUCAAUCAUUAUUUUGAUGCAUGAUUUCUAUGUAUAGUUUCUUGAAAGGGCAAAGAAUAGAAAGACAGGAAA